rnacentral:rRNA from 1 species
UAAGGGCGCACGGUGGAUGCCUUGGCACUAGGAGCCGAUGAAGGACGGGACUAACACCGAUAUGCUUUGGGGAGCUGUACGUAAGCUAUGAUCCAGAGAUUUCCGAAUGGGGGAACCCAACAUCUUUAAUAGGAUGUUACGAUUGUGUGAAUACAUAGCACAUUCGAGGUAGACGCAGAGAACUGAAACAUCUAAGUACCUGCAGGAAGAGAAAGAAAAUUCGAUUCCCUGAGUAGCGGCGAGCGAAACGGGAAAAGCCCAAACCAGCAAGCUUGCUUGUUGGGGUUGUAGGACUCCAAUAUGGUAGUUCUUUCAGAUAGUCGAAUGACUUGGAAAAGUCAGUCAAAGAGGGUAAAAACCCCGUAGACGAAAUGUGGAAGACACCUAGGAGGAUCCUGAGUACGGCGGAACACGAGAAAUUCCGUCGGAAUCCGGGAGGACCAUCUCCCAAGGCUAAAUACUCCCUAGUGACCGAUAGUGAACCAGUACCGUGAGGGAAAGGUGAAAAGCACCCCGGAAGGGGAGUGAAAUAGAACCUGAAACCGUGUGCCUACAACAAGUCAAAGCCCGUUAAUGGGUGAUGGCGUGCCUUUUGUAGAAUGAACCGGCGAGUUACGAUUGCAUGCGAGGUUAAGUUGAAGAGACGGAGCCGCAGCGAAAGCGAGUCUGAAUAGGGCGUUUGAGUAUGUAGUCGUAGACCCGAAACCAUGUGAUCUACCCAUGUCCAGGUUGAAGGUGCGGUAAAACGCACUGGAGGACCGAACCCACGUACGUUGAAAAGUGCGGGGAUGAGGUGUGGGUAGCGGAGAAAUUCCAAACGAACUUGGAGAUAGCUGGUUCUCUCCGAAAUAGCUUUAGGGCUAGCCUCGGAAUUGAGAAUGAUGGAGGUAGAGCACUGUUUGGACUAGGGGCCCAUCUCGGGUU